rnacentral:rRNA from 1 species
AUUGAACGCUAACGGCGUGCUUAACACAUGCAAGUCGAGCGGCAGCAUGAUCUGUAGCAAUACAGAUUGAUGGCGAGCGGCGGACGGGUGAGUAACAUAUAGGAAUCUGCCUUGUAGUGGGGGAUAACCCGGGGAAACUCGGGCUAAUACCGCAUAAUCUCUACGGAGCAAAGUGGGGGACCGUAAGGCCUCACGCUAAAAGAUGAGCCUAUAUUGGAUUAGCUAGUUGGUGAGGUAAUGGCUCACCAAGGCGACGAUCCAUAGCUGGUCUGGGGGGAGAAUCAGCCACACUGGGACUGAGACACGGCCCAGACUCCUACGGGAGUCAGCAGUGGGGAAUAUUGGACAAUGGGCGCAAGCCUGAUCCAGCAACGCCGUGUGUGUGAAGAAGGCCUUCGGGUUGUAAAGCACUUUUAGUAGGGAAGAAAAGCUUAUGGUUAAUAACCGUGAGUGAUGACGUUACCAACAGAAAAAGCACUGGCUAACUCUGUGCCAGCCGCCGCCGUAAUAC